AUCUAUGGCCAUGCUACCCUGAACAAGCCCAAUCCCGUCUGAUCUCAGAAGCUAAGCAGGGUCGGGCCUGGUUAGUACUUGGAUGGGAGACCACCUAGGAAGACCAGGUGCUGUAGGUG
rnacentral:rRNA from 1 species